GUGCAUGGAUACACCAGUUCCCUGCAUUGCCUGCCUGGGGAGAGCCUAACUGUGCUUGCUAACAGCCCUCCUCUUCUUCCUAGGCACACCUGGAGGAGUGCCCCCACCACAAGUGCAAAUUUGCCCACCUGCCCCUCCAGGAUACCCUGGUCCCAACACUCCAGCAAGUCCCUACCCUGGCUACCCUGCAGUGACACCUGGUGCCCCUGGGACCUGUCCUCCGGGACCCCCAGGUGGCUAUCCCUGUGGCCCCUCUCCACCUGGUCCCUACCCACCAGGGCAGCAUCCCCAUGGGUACCCCCCACCAGGACAUCAUCCCCAUGGGCAGCCCCAUCCAGGGCAUCAUCCCCAUGGGCAGCCCCAUCCAGGGUGUACACCAUGCCGCCCUGAGUGCCAUCAGAAGCACCAUAAGAAGCACAAGAAGAAGCACUCCAAGCACCAUGGAGGCAAGCACUCCAGCAGCUCAAGCAGCAGUUCCGACUCUGACUGAAGAGGACAUCUCCAAUCCACAUGAUGGUGAAACGAUGAAACACGAAGAAUGCCCCAUGGGAACCAUCUGCAUGUUGCUCCGCUCCUUUCCCCUUUCUCUUAGAGCAGUUUUUUGCCUGCUGAAUGAUUUUCUUGGUUUUAGCUUGUAAAUUCUUUGACCUGGAAUUACUGUAAGAUGACGGGCAGCAGCUCCGUCCUCUAUCUUUCAGAAGAGCCCACUGAAAGUCAUCCUCGAGGCUGCAGGUAGCCAUGUGGGGAGUAUCAAAUGCUGGUUUGCAGUCUGCUGGUGUCUGUGUGUUUUUUCCUGUGAAAUGAAGCUGGCUGCUGAUGUGGAUCCCACCACCCAUAGAAGUCCUUACAUUUCACAUGAGCUAUACCAGGUGUAGCAGGGGGCCUGACCAAGGAAUGCCAUAACUUUCCCCUUGCUGAGGUGUAUGGGUUGUCAUCCUCCACACCACAGGAAUAAUUGAUAGGAAAAAGUAGUGAGCUCUCUUUUUGCAGUCCCUGAGCCAUGGCCAUGUCACUGCAGCAUGCUUGCUAGGUAAGGUAAAAAGUCUGGCAG
rnacentral:lncRNA from 1 species